GUACGGGAGGCAGCAGUGAGGAAUAUUGGUCAAUGGGCGAGAGCCUGAACCAGCCAAGUAGCGUGAAGGAUGAAGGUCCUAUGGAUUGUAAACUUCUUUUAUAGUAGAAUAAAGUGAUCCACGUGUGGAUUUUUGUAUGUAUACUAUGAAUAAGGAUCGGCUAACUCCGUGCCAGCAGCCGCGGUAAUACGGAGGAUCCGAGCGUUAUCCGGAUUUAUUGGGUUUAAAGGGUGCGUAGGCGGAAAAAUAAGUCAGUUGUGAAAGUUUGCGGCUCAACCGUAAAAUUGCAGUUGAUACUGUUUUUCUUGAGUGUACAUAAGGUAGGCGGAAUUCGUGGUGUAGCGGUGAAAUGCUUAGAUAUCACGAAGAACUCCAAUUGCGAAGGCAGCUUACCGGGGUACAACUGACGCUGAGGCACGAAAGUGUGGGUAUCAAACAGGAUUAGAUACCCUAGUAGUCAC
rnacentral:rRNA from 1 species